rnacentral:rRNA from 1 species
AUACGGAGGGUGCGAGCGUUAUCCGGAAUUACUGGGUUUAAAGGGUGCGUAGGCGGCCUGGUAAGUCAGGGGUGAAAGUCCAGGGCUUAACCGUGGGAUUGCCUUUGAUACUGCUGGGCUUGAAUGAGGUUGAGGUGGGCGGAAUGUGGCAUGUAACGGUGAAAUGUGUAGAUAUGCCAUAGAACACCGAUUGCGAAGGCAGCUCACUGGACCUUUUUUGACGCUGAGGCACGAAAGCGUGGGGAGCGAACAGGAUUAGAUACCCCAGUAGUCC